UGAAUGAUACACUUGGUACAUAAGCUGGAGGCAAAUGCUUCGAUAAUGAUGUUGCAGUUGCAGUUAUUUUGGGAACUAACUGGAAAAAAUGCAGUAUAUGUAGACCAUUCCUAAGAGGCAUGGUCUCCUACCUAAAUCAAGAGAGAUGAUUUUGAGAAGAAAUUUCUGGGAUGUAUUUGGGAGAUAUUGUACGUAGAGUCCUCUGCAAAAUGGCUGAAGAAGCUGAUUUUCUUGGUGAUGUUGUUCCACCAAAACUUAAGAUUCGAUUUAUUUUUACUAUACCAUCCAUUUCACCUUUAAUAAAAUUAAUUUUUUACUCAGUUCUGCGUUUGCCUACCGCUUCUUAGAUUUUGCUUGAAUUCUUGGUAAACAAACGCUGAAUGAAAUGUGAAUUAUGUAGGACUCCAGAAAUGUCUGCCAUUCCCAUAUUUGAGAGUGGUUAGGAGAAAAUUGGAGAACAUGUUUGUUUGUUCCCUCAUGAAGUUGAACUCUUUACUCAUUUUCCUAUAAACAGCACUUUCGUUGUACCGGUUACACUUGCAUAUAUUGAUACUCCAAAGCUGCUAAUUGGUGACAAUUAUGACUGCAUAAUCCAAGAGUGAUGUUGUGCCAUGGAGAUGAUGUCUUGGGGAUGUUUGAAGACUGUGACAUGAUUAAGUCGCCAAAAGGUUAUGUAAUUCCUGUAGGAGAGUGACCAAGUUAGAGUGGCAAGGUGACAGUUGAUUGAUUACAAUUUUAGUUUCCAAUAUGCAACUAUGGAUUGCUAUUUAUCUUUCGAUUUAUAUUCAAAUAUUUUAUUUUCUUGAAAAAAUAAUUAAUAAAGUUGAUUUUCCAAUUAAAA